CGGACGGGUGAGUAACGCGUGGGUAACCUGCCUCACACUGGGGGAUAACAGUUAGAAAUAGCUGCUAAUACCGCAUAAGCGCACAUUCCGCAUGGAACAGUGUGAAAAACUCCGGUGGUGUGAGAUGGACCCGCGUCUGAUUAGCCAGUUGGCGGGGUAACGGCCCACCAAAGCGACGAUCAGUAGCCGGCCUGAGAGGGUGAACGGCCACAUUGGGACUGAGACACGGCCCAA
rnacentral:rRNA from 1 species